rnacentral:ncRNA from 2 species
AGACCAUCAAGAGAGAUUGAGGGACUGGCCCUAUGACAUCUCAGCAACCUGCUUUUACAAGUGUGGUGCUAACUCCUGAUAGAUGGAUG